rnacentral:rRNA from 1 species
UACGGGGGGGGGCAAGCGUUGUUCGGAAUUACUGGGCGUAAAGGGCUCGUAGGCGGCCAACUAAGUCAUGCGUGAAAUCCCUCGGCUUAACCGGGGAACUGCGUCUGAUACUGGAUGGCUUGAGUGUGGGAGAGGGAUGCGGAAUUCCAGGUGUAGCGGUGAAAUGCGUAGAUAUCUGGAGGAACACCGGUGGCGAAGGCGGCAUCCUGGACCAUUACUGACGCUGAGUGAGCGAAAGCCAGGGGAGCAAACGGG